AUAUCAUAGCCAAAAUUAAAUCAAAAGUAAUAUUCAGCACAUCCCCAUCUCUCAUUCUUUAACGCUAUUCUUCUCUAUCUUCCCCAAAUUCCAGAUUUUUCGAAUCCCCCAAAUCUCUCUCUUCUUCUCCGAUAAAUACUCGGUUAUGGUUUCUUCUUAAUCUUUUUCUCAACUAUUUCUCUAUAUCAAGAGUCUUUUGUAGAAUUUCGACGAGAAUAUCAGCAUUCUUUCCAGGUUGAAAGAUGGGCAAAAAUUCAACCUCUAAGAUAUCAAAAUCUAAAGUAACAGUGGUCAAAUCUUCAUCACUUCAUAUCGAUUGUGACUCUGAUUUCGAAGUUACAGUGUUAAAGGGAUCGAGUUCACCACAUGGAAUACAUAUUCGACAUGAUAAUCAAAGGAAAAAAUGGGUUGAUGCAAUGUAUACUAAAGACAAAGGGAAAAAAUAGCAAAUGCGUCUGGUAUACAACAAAAUAUUAUUGUUAAACCCAAAAAGAGAAAGGGUGUUAGCACGAAGGAAGUUGAACGUGAUAAACAUCCUUUAAAGGUACUUUUUUAAUCUCAAUUGAUUUAAUAUAUUUAUUCGAUUUAUUUUGUACAUAAUGUUAGCUAUAGUUCUUUUCUUUGUUGUGUUGUGCUUGAAAUAUUAGGCCGGGAUCCUUUCUACUGCUUAAAUAAAGUUAUCAGCGAAACCUGUGAAUUCGUGCAAAGCGUAUUUAAGCACUAGCAUCCUUGUUUAAUGUAUACUUAGAUGCUAUGUGAAUAUAGAAGUUGAAAUAAAAGGUUAGGCACCAUUCUUUUUGUUACCAGUUCUUGUUAAUUCCUUUGAAUUUUCAGUAAGAAUUGAAAGAUUGAAUUUUUCCUAAUUGGUGCUUGAGUGAAUGUUACGCCUUUCGCAUAAGUAGCUCCAUAUCGUGUUUACAUAAUGACUUUGGGUGGUUUAGAUCCAUAUCGUGGUCUAGGAAUUGGCAAGUGAUCAGCUUAUCUUGCCCACCUUGUUCAGAAUGAAUUUUAACUCUAAACUUUCCUCUUUCCCUUUCAUGUUUAACCCAUAACAUUUGUGUAUUGAUUUAAUCCCCAUACUUAACUACAUAUUUUUUCUUAAACCUUUUUUAUUUAGUAUGCUUUUCUUUUAUAUUUGAUUUCUGUUAAAAUGCAGCAGCUAAAAUCUAAGAUUCAUGAAAAUGUAUUGAGCUAUUCUUUCUGAAGAUGUGUAGCUGCAGAGAAUUUGGUGAUGUUCACUUUCUACGUAUAUGGCUUAGUACAAUUAUUAUUUUUUCAAAAUGUAGAAAUGAAAUUUUCAUGUCGCAUUGGAUACAAAAUUAUCCAUUUCUUGUUGGAGCUCACAUACCAAUAUUGAGGUUGUUGAUGAGUUAAAGUCGAAAUCGACUGAUGAGCAGAUUCAAAUGAUUAGGAAAACUUGUUUCGGCUAUUUCUUCGAUUUGCCUCCUGUUAUUGUUUAGGAUCAGGUCAUAUGGUUCUUAAUGUAGAGGGAGUUGUUUCAAGAUAGUGAUUAUGAGUUUUACGUCAAGAUCAAUCAUAAUACCUUGUGUUUUGGGAUUAGAGAAUUCGCAAUUAUAUCUGGACUAAGGUGUGUUGGUGUGGUCAACGAUGAAGAAACUUAUAGUGGAUAUAAUAGGCUCAACGAUGCUUACUUUUCUGAUCGUGAUAGAGUAUCAAAGGAUGACCUUAUUGAUUGGUUUAUAGCAAAGAGAUGGCAGUCAGAUAAUGACGCUCUAAAAAUUUUGUUAUUGUACUUCAUAUACACCUUCUUAUUUUUCACAGUUAGUAAAAGAUCAUUUGUAAGUAAUCGAAAUUUUAUCUGAUUGAGAGUGAGAAAUAUGAGCAGUUUCCAUGGGGAAUGUUGUAUUUGAAUCUUUGAUUGGUUCGGUGAGAAAUAAGUUUAGAUUCGUAAAGAGGUUUCAUAGGUUUGGCAGUUUACCACUUGCAUUGCAGAUUUGGGUUUAUAAGUGUUGUUCUGAAGUAGACCCUAAUAUUGCCAUUUGCAAGCUGAGUGUCACGCAUCCUAAAAUAGAAAGGCCCGACUUUGAGAAAUUAUGCAACGGCGUGUUGGGAGAAUCAAGGAACAAGGUAACAUCGUGAAAUUUAUAUUUGCACUUUAAAGUAUUCUGUACAUAUGCUAAAAUAAUUGUGAUAUUUUUAUAUUUACACUAAAACACAAUGAUACACAUUUCCAUGCAUAAUAAUAUUCAUUGUAUGAUGCUUGAUAUACAAUUUUUGUGUAGAAUUUUUGUACUUAUCAUCAUAAAUUGUUGACUUUUUUUAUUUAUUGUAGUUGGUGUUUACAAAUAUUUCUGCAACCGUGGGUGAGUUAGGUGCAUUAUAUUUGCCCAUGAAUGUUGAAUAUGCUUAUACAAAAAGGUGUUGUUUCUGAGAAUGUUUGUGAAAUUAAUGUCGAUGAAUUUGGUUUCAUAACUCCACCUCCGUAAAGGAGCAACAACCAGCAGCAAACAAAUAUAAAUAGUAGUGCCCCUAAUAUCAUAGUCUUUCGGAGAAAAAAUAUACAGUGAGUGACUAUGAAAGGGUAUGUUUGUUUUCAACUUACAUUUGUUGAAGCACAUGAAUAUUUUACCAAUAAAUAAUUUUAUUUUUGAACUCUGUUCAGUUGAGAAGGGAAUUUGAGUCUUUCAAAAAGUAUGUGAUGUAGUCAUUCGAGAAAGUAUUUAAUGAUAAUAUACUCGCACACAAUUUCGAUCAAAGAUCCAAUGAGAAUGCUUUUGAAAAGGUAAGAAUUCUUUACCGUUAAUAUUUUUGAAUGUUCAUUCAUUUCAUUUUAAUAAAUGUAAUUUUUUAGUAUCGUGUUCUAAUUGUGUUCAGCUUAGUAAGGAAUUUUUUCAUUCAAGAAGUAUGUGAUGGACUCUUUUGCUACAUUAUUUGAUGAAAAUAACAAUAUUCAUAACGGAGUCUCUGCAAAGAGUGAUGCAAAGAGUGUGGAAAGGUUGAUGAGCAUAGACAAGAUUCUCCUAGUAACAAUCACGAUCAAGGUAAUAAUGAUGUCGUUCAUGUGCAUGAGGCCACCCAAAUGAAUUUAGUUUGCCAAGACAACCAGGGAGAUACCAGUGUUCUUCAUGUUAUAUUUGGAGCAAUGUUAUAUUUUCUUAAUUAUUUUACGUGUUUAUACAAUCAAUACGUAAAGUUUUUUAAUAUCUUUUAUGAUAUGUUUAAAUA